GACGAACGCUUGGCGGCGUGCUUAACACAUGCAAGUCGAGCGGUAAGGCCCUUUCGGGGGUACACGAGCGGCGAACGGGUGAGUAACACGUGGGUGACCUGCCCUCCAGCUCUGGGAUAAGCCUGGGAAACCGGGUCUAAUACUGGAUAUGACUCCAUGACGCAUGUUGUGGGGUGGAAAGCCUUGUGCGGCUGAGGAUGGGCCCGCGGCCUAUCAGCUUGUUGGUGGGGUGAUGGCCUACCAAGGCGACGACGGGUAGCCGGCCUGAGAGGGCGACCGGCCACACUGGGACUGAGACACGGCCCAGACUCCUACGGGAGGCAGCAGUGGGGAAUCUUGCGCAAUGGGCGAAAGCCUGACGCAGCGACGCCGCGUGAGGGAUGACGGCCUC
rnacentral:rRNA from 1 species